rnacentral:rRNA from 1 species
UACAGAGGUCGUCAAGCGUUGUUCGGAUUCAUUGGGCGUAAAGGGCGCGUAGGCUGCGGGGCAAGUCGGGUGUGAAAUCUCAGAGCUCAACUCUGAAACUGCACUCGAUACUGCUUUGCUCGAGGACUGGAGAGGAGAUUGGAAUUCACGGUGAGCAGUAGAAAUGCGUAGAUAUCGUGAGGAAGACCAGGUGGCGAAGGCGGAUCUCUGGACAAGU